UGACCUCAACGACGGUGUUUGUACA
rnacentral:piRNA from 1 species